rnacentral:rRNA from 1 species
UGCGCAGGCGGUUGGGUGUGUCAGAUGUGAAAUCCCGAGGCUCAACCUCGGAACUGCGUCUGAAACUACUCGACUAGAGUACUGGAGAGGGUAACGGAAUUCACGGUGUAGCAGUGAAAUGCGUAGAUAUCGUGAGGAACACCAGAGGCGAAGGCGGUUACCUGGACAGUUACUGACGCUCAGGCACGAAAGCAUGGGGGAGACAAAAG